rnacentral:rRNA from 1 species
GGUCAAGUGAAUAAGAGCACGUGGUGGAUGCCUUGGCAAUGAUAGGCGACGAAGGACGUGAUAGCCUGCGAUAAGCUUCGGGGAGCUGGCAAAUUAGCUUUGAUCCGGAGAUUUCCGAAUGGGGAAACCCACCGAAAGGUAUCUUGCGAUGAAUACAUAGUUGCAAGAGGCGAACCGGGUGAACUGAAACAUCUCAGUAGCUCGAGGAAAAGACAUCAACCGAGAUUCCGAAAGUAGUGGCGAGCGAAAUCGGAGAAGCCUGUUAGUGAUAGCACAAGACAUAACGGAACAGCUUGGAAAGGCUGGCCAUAGCGGGUGAUAGCCCCGUACGUGAAAUGACCUGUGUGGUACUGAGCUAACGACAAGUAGGGCGGGACACGAGAAAUCCUGUCUGAAUAUUCAGACAGGAU